AAACGGCGGUGGUAACUAUAACCAUCCUAAGGUAGCGAAAUUCCUUGUCGGGUAAGUUCCGACCUGCACGAAUGGCGUAACGACUUCCCAACUGUCUCAACCGCGAACUCGGCGAAAUUGCAUUACGAGUAAAGAUGCUCGUUACGCGCAGCAGGACGGAAAGACCCCCGUGCCUUUACUACAGCUUGGUAUUGGUGUUCGGUGUGGCUUGUGUAGGAUAGGUGGGAGACGGUGAAGCAUUCACGCCAGUGAGUGUGGAGUCAUUGUUGAAAUACCACUCUGGUCACUCUGGAUAUCUAACUUAGGACCGUGAUCCGGUUCAGGGACAGUGCCUGGUGGGUAGUUUAACUGGGGCGGUUGCCUCCAAAUGUAACGGAGGCGC
rnacentral:ncRNA from 1 species